UACGUAGGCAGCAAGCGUUGUUCGGAGUUACUGGGCGUAAAGAGUGCGUAGGCGGUGCCCUAAGUCUGUUGUGAAAUCUCCUGGCUCAACUGGGAGGGUGCGGUGGAAACUGGGGUGCUUGAGAGUGGGAGAGGUUAGCGGAAUUCCUGGUGUAGCGGUGAAAUGCGUAGAUAUCAGGAGGAACACCGGUGGUGUAGACGGCUGACUGGACCACGACUGACGCUGAGGCACGAAAGCGUGGGUAGCAAACAGG
rnacentral:rRNA from 2 species